rnacentral:rRNA from 1 species
GACGAACGCUGGCGGCGUGCCUAAUACAUGCAAGUUGAGCGCUGAAGGUUGGUACUUGUCCCAACUGGAUGAGCAGCGAACGGGUGAGUAACGCGUGGGGAAUCUGCCUUUGAGCGGGGGACAACAUUUGGAAACGAAUGCUAAUACCGCAUAAAAACUUUAAACACAAGUUUUAAGUUUGAAAGAUGCAAUUGCAUCACUCAAAGAUGAUCCCGCGUUGUAUUAGCUAGUUGGUGAGGUAAAGGCUCACCAAGGCGAUGAUACAUAGCCGACCUGAGAGGGUGAUCGGCCACAUUGGGACUGAGACACGGCCCAAACGCCUACGGGAGGCAGCAGUAGGGAAUCUUCGGCAGUGGACGAAAGUCUGACCGAGCAACGCCGCGUGAGUGAAGAAGGUUUUCGGAUCGUAAAACUCUGUUGGUAGAGAAGAACGUUGGUGAGAGUGGAAAGCUCAUCAAGUGACGGUAACUACCCAGAAAGGGACGGCUAACUACGUG